rnacentral:piRNA from 1 species
AUCACGAAGGGACUACAGUAUGUUGUUG